CCGUCCAUAGCUCAGUUGGAAGAGCGCAUGACUGUAAUGGUUUUCUGCCUGGUGCCAUCAUGAGGUCCCCAGUUCGAACCUGGGUGGUCGGA